GAGGACGGCGUCUGCGCGCAAGGCGGGGCUGCACCUCUGCUUCCUCGGGCCUUCUGGGUAAUGGAGUUUCCGGGGGGACAGCGCGCGGCCCGGGUCUCGGUCGCAGAGCCCACCGAGCUCCGCACCCCCGCCGCUCAGCUGAUCUCUGGGUCCUGGGCGAACAACAGCCUGAGUGGCCGGCCAAGCAGGUGCCGCCGGCGGGGCCGGAGGUCCUGAGGAUGUUUACGGUGUUCCGGAAGCCCAAGACGUUCAAGCUGCGGGCUCUGCACAGGACGAAGAAGUUUGGGGUGGCGGGGAGGAGCUACCAGGAGGUGCUGCGGAAGGGGUGCUUCCACUUCCAGCUCCCCAUCACCGGCUCCCGCCUGUGUCUCUACGAAGACGGCACCGAGCUCACCGGAGACUACUUCUCGAGUGUCCCUGACAACUCGGAACUCGUGCUUCUCACCUCAGGCCAGACCUGGCAAGGCUAUGUGAGUGACAUCCAUCACUUCCUCCACGCGUUCCACAAGCCGCAGGCGGGGCUCAUCCAGGCUGCCCGGCAGCUGCUCUCCGGGGAGCAGGCCCCGCUGCGGCAGAAGCUGCUGGCCGACCUCCUGCACACCGUCAGCGAGAACACCGAGGCCGAGACCAGGGCCGAGGACCCGCCAUGGUUCGAAGGUCUGGAGUCUCGAUUCAAGAAUAAGUCUGGCUACCUGAGGUACAGCUGCGAGAGCCGUAUCCGGAGCUACCUGAGAGAGGUGAGCGCUUCUGCCUCCACGGUGGGCGCGGAGGCUCAGGAGGAGUACGUCCGGAUUGUUGGCCUCAUGUGCCGGAAGCUCAGGGCGGAGCAGUACCACAGCAGCUACUUCGACAGAGGAGCCGAGGCGGACAGCCGGCUCUGCACACCCGAAGGCUGGUUCUCCUGCCAGGGUCCCUUUGACGUGGACAGCUGUGCAUCCAAACACUCCAUCAACCCCUACGGUAACAGGGAGAGCCGGAUCCUCUUUAGUACGUGGAACCUGGACCACAUGCGCUUCCGGCCGUCCACCUUCCGCUACUACAGAGCCCCCUGGGCUGAGCGCGCACGCGGGACCGACCUGCGUGGCCAUGUGGGUGUGGCCCGUGGACUGGCAGCGUCCUCAGCAUGUGGGGACUGGUCGGGAAUGCAGAUUCUCGGGCUCCGCGCACCGUUACCCGGGUGCUGGGGAUUGGGGUGCACGUUCAGGUCAUCUGUCGGCUACUUUCCGUGCCCCGCUGGGGCGUGGGGACAUCGAUCUGGGGGCGGUCCCAGCACUCAAGGGGCGGAGCAGGCCAGCCUGGAGCAGAGUGCAGACGAAGCAGCAGAGGCCGGAGCAGGGUUGCCUGACACCGUGGUUUCAGGCUCGUUUCUCCCAGGAGGGUCCUGUGGGCACUAAAUGUUCUUUGGUCUUGGAAAAUGUCCCUCUGGCCUCUACUCCUGCGUGGUCAUUUAGCGAUACUGAAUUCUGAGCGGUGGGUGUCCCACCUUCAGAACUUUGAAGACGUGCUCACACUCUCCCGGCGUCUGCUCGGGAGAAUUCUGCCCACAGCCUGUUCUCUGCCGUUUCUGCGGACAUUGCAGAUUUUCCCUUUCUCUUUGAACAUGGCGUGUGUGUGGGUUUAGAUCCUUAAAUUCUGACCGGGGCUUGUCUUUGUUCCAAAGACAAGUUUCUCUUUCGUUUUGGAAAACACCUAAGUAUUUUUUAGUUACCCCCUCUCGGCUUCUUUCUGUCCGGCUUCUCUGGAGCUCCCGCUGGCCGCACGUUGGACCUUCUCGUCCUGUCUCCCUUGUGCUGUGGGGGUGGUGUCGAGGAGCCCUCCGAGGCCUCUCAGCGGUCUGUUUCAGAGUGCUCUAGCCCAGGUCCUCCGCUGGGGUCCUCGCCCUUUGCGGUGUGCUCGUGACAUCUGUGCGUCUGGAUUCAGAGUCCACCCUCGGUGGGGACUGUGUUUUCUGUGCACUGGCUUGUCCUGUCCCCACAGGGUGGUUUUGCAUUUGUUUCUGCCGGACACUCACGGAAAGCCAGGGCUUCCCGUGGCUCUGAAACAGCGGAGUAUUAAUUUCUGGCUUGGGUCCCGUCCCCUGUGGCAGGUGCAGUCGGACUGUGGGUCUGUGUGAACGGUGAGCCGAGGGUCCUGGGUUUACUGGUGACUGUGGAAAUGGUCACGCUGUUGGUGCGCCCGAAUCAUGCCUCCUGGGGGUGUGUUGUCCUCACCCCUCCCGCUGCUGACCGAGGCUCGGCCAUGUGGCUCCAGCACACAGGACGCCAGCGGACGCCUGAUACGUGCUUGUGCGCUGGGGCUCCUUCUCUUUGAGCGCUGGCGUCAGUGGGGAGGGCCCUGGCCUGGCCUCCUUGAGGGUGAAAGGCGCCACGGGGAGCAAGGCCGCCCCCAGCCAGCCCUCCAGCGUCGCGCAGCCACAGGAGCGGUCGGGGUCAGCGGGCGCCCCCCUCUUCUGGGGCUGGGCAGGCAGCAGUAGGUAGAGGGUAGGGUGGCUUCCCCUCCCUCCCGGAGCCCCGGGCGCCCCUGCCGCUUCCCUUCCACUUUAAUGGCUGGACUGGGGUCUCGGUCCCACCUCCCUGGCCCUCCCCUUGGGCCUCUGUCGGGACCAGAGCCCCAGUGGGCUGCAGGAGGGUGGCUCGCCCCUGCGGAUCAAGUGGGGACUUGAGUUCCUGGCAGUGGGGAGCCCUCACCUGCUCAGCUUUGUACCUGUUUUCCCUUUUCUUCAGUGUUUCUCCGUGUUGGAGGGACAGGUGGGCCCAGCAUGCUGCAGUGGCCCUCCUGGCCUUGUUUCUAUUCCUCGUGUUACAAGCUCAGUUCGCAAGCUUUACCUGUCAGUACGCGGGCUUUGAAAGAAUAGAAAAGAGGCGCACUGUC